GAAGUUCUAUAGUAUUUUAGUAGAAAUAUCUGUCGGACAGUUGGAGUUGGUUCGAGAUUAGGCCGGAAAUCGUCAAGGUGUCAUGGUUGCCAAGUGGAAGCAGCACACGCUCGGCCAUAGAGAGGAGAGAGUUUGUUUUGCAACAAUUUGAAAGAUUCAACAAAAAAGAAAAGUAAGUGUAAUUACAGGAUGGACAUACACUUAAAGCCACAUACCCACGAAGAAACAUAUAUAUCAAUGUUUACAUUUUGAGCUUUUUAAAGUUUUCAAACUUGAUUGAUGUGAAUCAGAAACUGAAAGAAAAUGUGUAUUUAUGAAAGUAUACGGGGAAUUCCCCAAAAUAAUAACUGUGGCUGUUGGACCACGUUUCUCUGAAAAUUAACCCCACAAUGCACGGCGGGUUUUACAGUCCAUACAAAAUGGCGGAACGCCGCAAGCGUGGAACUGCAAAAACGCUGACAGAUUCUGCCAAAAAAA